rnacentral:rRNA from 1 species
GACGAACGCUGGCGGCGUGCUUAACACAUGCGAGUCGAACGGAAAGGCCCUGCUUUUGUGGGGUGCUCGAGUGGCGAACGGGUGAGUAACACGUGAGUAACCUGCCCUUGACUUUGGGAUAACUUCAGGAAACUGGGGCUAAUACCGGAUAGGAGCUCCUGCUGCAUGGUGGGGGUUGGAAAGUUUCGGCGGUUGGGGAUGGACUCGCGGCUUAUCAGCUUGUUGGUGGGGUAGUGGCUUACCAAGGCUUUGACGGGUAGCCGGCCUGAGAGGGUGACCGGCCACAUUGGGACUGAGAUGCUGCCCAGACUCCUACGGGAGGCAGCAGUGGGGAAUAUUGCACAAUGGGCGGAAGCCUGAUGCAGCAACGCCGCGUGCGGGAUGACGGCCUUCGGGUUGUAAACCGCUUUCGCCUGUGACGAAGCGUGAGUGACGGUAAUGUGUAAAGAAGCACCGGCUAACUACGUG